rnacentral:rRNA from 1 species
CCCUACUCCUUACGGGAGGCAGCAGUGGGGAAUAUUGCACAAUGGGCGCAAGCCUGAUGCAGCGACGCCGCGUGAGGGAUGACGGCCUUCGGGUUGUAAACCUCUUUCAGUAGGGAAGAAGCCGUAAGGUGACGGUACCUGCAGAAGAAGCGCCGGCUAACUACGUGCCAGCAGCCGCGGUAAUACGUAGGGCGCAAGCGUUAUCCGGAAUUAUUGGGCGUAAAGAGCUCGUAGGCGGUUUGUCGCGUCUGCCGUGAAAGUCCGGGGCUCAACUCCGGAUCUGCGGUGGGUACGGGCAGACUAGAGUGAUGUAGGGGAGACUGGAAUUCCUGGUGUAGCGGUGAAAUGCGCAGAUAUCAGGAGGAACACCGAUGGCGAAGGCAGGUCUCUGGGCAUUAACUGACGCUGAGGAGCGAAAGCAUGGGGAGCGAACAGGAUUAGAUACCCUGGUAGUCCAUGCCGUAAACGUUGGGCACUAGGUGUGGGGGACAUUCCACGUUUUCCGCGCCGUAGCUAACGCAUUAAGUGCCCCGCCUGGGGAGUACGGCCGCAAGGCUAAAACUCAAAGGAAUUGACGGGGGCCCGCACAAGCGGCGGAGCAUGCGGAUUAAUUCGAUGCAACGCGAAGAACCUUACCAAGGCUUGACAUGAACCGGAAAGAUCUGAAACAGGCCCCCU